CGAUGGGUAUACAACAGAAAAAAAUUGCAAUUGUACUGUCGUGGGUUUGUCGCAAGUUAUAUGACAGUCGCACGACAAUCCGGUGUUGUUUGGGGCUAUUUUUCGUGUCAUGGGAUGUGCGUGUUACAGUCGUCUUAUAAUAUACUGUCGAGUCACUAUCGUACGUAUGUCGCUUAACAGUCGUGGGUCACGCGCGCGUUUAAGUCCAAACUACUAGUAAAUAAAAGAGGCCCGAUUAAUUGUGUGCCAUUUGUCAUUUGCUUUCAAUGUGAUUCAGUGUCAUUAUAAGUUCGGUCCAAGUAAAAGACGUUUUUCGUAUUAGUUUAUAUUAUAAUUGUUCAGCAAAAUUAAACUAGGAUGCCCUCGAAAAGAAAAAUUAGCAAAACAAAAUGGGUAGCAACGCUAACAGGACCAUGUUUUGCCCUUGUUGGAGUCUGACAAGGCGCCUAUUCAGCAGAGCCAAACGUAAAAUGCUGUUGGAAUAGCCAUUCUCUUUAAACGGCAUUCAUUCCCGCCGAUUUGUAUUCUUCUAAAUAAAACAAAAAUAUGUUGCAC
rnacentral:lncRNA from 1 species